CCUACGGGCGGCAGUGGGGAAUAUUGGACAAUGGGCGAAAGCCUGAUCCAGCCAUGCCGCGUGUGUGAAGAAGGCCUUCGGGUUGUAAAGCACUUUCAGUGGGGAAGAAAGCCUUGGGGCUAAUACCCUCGAGGAAGGACAUCACCCACAGAAGAAGCACCGGCUAACUCCGUGCCAGCAGCCGCGGUAAUACGGAGGGUGCGAGCGUUAAUCGGAAUUACUGGGCGUAAAGCGCGCGUAGGCGGUCUGAUAAGCCGGUUGUGAAAGCCCCGGGCUCAACCUGGGAACGGCAUCCGGAACUGUCAGGCUAGAGUGCAGGAGAGGAAGGUAGAAUUCCCGGUGUAGCGGUGAAAUGCGUAGAGAUCGGGAGGAAUACCAGUGGCGAAGGCGGCCUUCUGGACUGACACUGACGCUGAGGUGCGAAAGCGUGGGUAGCAAACAGGAUUAGAUACCCGGGUAGUC
rnacentral:rRNA from 1 species